rnacentral:rRNA from 1 species
UCGUCAGCUCGUGUCGUGAGAUGUUGGUUAAGUCCCGCAACGAGCGCAACCCCUAUCCUCAGUUGCCAUCAUUAAGUUUGGGCACUCUGUGGAGACUGCCGGUGUCAAACCGGAGGAAGGUGGGGAUGACGUCAAGUCCUCAUGGCCCUUAUGACCAGGGCUACACACGUGCUACAAUGGCCGGUACAAAGAGUUGCGAUACCGCGAGGUGGAGCUAAUCUCAUAAAGCCGGUCUCAGUUCGGAUUGGAGUCUGCAACUCGACUCCAUGAAGUUGGAAUCGCUAGUAAUCGCGGAUCAGCAUGCCGCGGUGAAUACGUUCCCGGGCCUU